rnacentral:rRNA from 1 species
CAGCCGCCGCGGUAAUACCGGCGGCCCGAGUGGCGGUCACUAUUAUUGGGCUUAAAGCGUCCGUAGCCGGGUUGGGAAGUCCUCCGGGAAAUCUGGCCGCUUAACGGUCAGAAUGCCGGAGGAUACUCCCAGCCUAGGGAGCGGGAGAGGCCGAGGGGAUUCCCGGAGUAGGGGGGAAAUCCUAUAAUCCCGGGAGGACCACCCGUGGCGAAGGCGCUCGGCUGGAACGCGUCCGACGGUGAGGGACGAAGGCCAGGGGAGCAAACCGGAUUAGAUACCCGGGUAGUCCUGGCUGUAAACGAUGCGGACUUUGUGUCGGACAAGCUAUGAGCUUGUCCGGUGCCGGAGGGAAACCGUUAAGUCCGCCGCCUGGGGAGUACGGCCGCAAGGCUGAAACUUAAAGGAAUUGGCGGG